rnacentral:rRNA from 1 species
AUUGAACGCUGGCGGCAGGCCUAACACAUGCACGUCGAACGAGUGGCGGACGGGUGAGUAAUGUCUGGGAAACUGCCUGAUGGAGGGGGAUAACUACUGGAAACGGUAGCUCAUACCGCAUACCAUCAGAUGUGCCCAGCUGGGAUUAGCUAGUUGGUGGGGUAACGGCUCACCAAGGCGCCGAUCCCUAGCUGGUCUGAGAGGAUGACCACACACACUGGAACGGAGACACGGUCCAGACUCUUACGGGAGGCAGCAGUGGGGAAUAUUGCACAAUGGGCGCAAGCCGGAUGCAGCCAUGCCGCGUGUAUGAAGAAGGCCUUCGGGUUGUAAAGUACUUUCAGCGGGGAGGCGUUACCCGCAGAAGAAGCACCGGCUAACUUCGGGACAGCAGCCGCGGUAAUAC